CAGCAGCCGCCGCGGUAAUACGUAGGUGGCAAGCGUUGUCCGGAAUUAUUGGGCGUAAAGGGCUCGCAGGCGGUUUCUUAAGUCUGAUGUGGAAGCCCCCGGCUCAACCGGGGAGGGUCAUUGGAAACUGGGAAACUUGAGUGCAGAAGAGGAGAGUGGAAUUCCACGUGUAGCGGUGAAAUGCGUAGAGAUGUGGAGGAACACCAGUGGCGAAGGCGACUCUCUGGUCUGUAACUGACGCUGAGGAGCGAAAGCGUGGGGAGCGAACAGGAUUAGAUACCCGUGUAGUCCCUGUCUCUUAUAC
rnacentral:rRNA from 1 species